UGAGUAACCUGCCCUUGACUCUGGGAUAAGCGCUAGAAAUGGCGUCUAAUACCGGAUACGAGCUUCAGCCGCAUGGCUAGGAGUUGGAAAGAAUUUUGGUCAAGGAUGGACUCGCGGCCUAUCAGCUAGUUGGUGAGGUAAUGGCUCACCAAGGCGACGACGGGUAGCCGGCCUGAGAGGGUGACCGGCCACACUGGGACUGAGACACGGCCCAGACUCCUACGGGAGGCAGCAGUGGGGAAUAUUGCACAAUGGGCGAAAGCCUGAUGCAGCAACGCCGCGUGAGGGAUGACGGCCUUCGGGUUGUAAACCUCUUUUAGUAGGGAAGAAGCGAAAGUGACGGUACCUGCAGAAAAAGCACCGGCUAACUACGUGCCAGCAGCCGCGGUAAUACGUAGGGUGCAAGCGUUGUCCGGAAUUAUUGGGCGUAAAGAGCUCGUAGGCGGUUUGUCGCGUCUGCUGUGAAAUCUGGGGGCUCAACCCCCAGCCUGCAGUGGGUACGGGCAGACUAGAGUGCGGUAGGGGAGAUUGGAAUUCCUGGUGUAGCGGUGGAAUGCGCAGAUAUCAGGAGGAACACCGAUGGCGAAGGCAGAUCUCUGGGCCGUAACUGACGCUGAGGAGCGAAAGCAUGGGGAGCGAACAGGAUUAGAUACCCUGGUAGUCCAUGCCGUAAACGUUGGGAACUAGAUGUGGGGGCCAUUCCACGGUCUCCGUGUCGCAGCUAACGCAUUAAGUUCCCCGCCUGGGGAGUACGGCCGCAAGGCUAAAACUCAAAGGAAUUGACGGGGGCCCGCACAAGCGGCGGAGCAUGCGGAUUAAUUCGAUGCAACGCGAAGAACCUUACCAAGGCUUGACAUAUACCGGAAACGUCCAGAGAUGGUCGCCCCGCAAGGUCGGUAUACAGGUGGUGCAUGGUUGUCGUCAGCUCGUGUCGUGAGAUGUUGGGUUAAGUCCCGCAACGAGCGCAACCCUCGUUCUAUGUUGCCAGCACGUUAUGGUGGGAACUCAUAGGAGACUGCCGGGGUCAACUCGGAGGAAGGUGGGGAUGACGUCAAAUCAUCAUGCCCCUUAUGUCUUGGGCUUCACGCAUGCUACAAUGGCCGGUACAAAGGGCUGCGAUACCGUAAGGUGGAGCGAAUCCCAAAAAGCCGGUCUCAGUUCGGAUUGAGGUCUGCAACUCGACCUCAUGAAGUCGGAGUCGCUAGUAAUCGCAGAUCAGCAACGCUGCGGUGAAUACGUUCCCGGGCCUUGUACACACCGCCCGUCAAGUCAUGAAGAG
rnacentral:rRNA from 1 species